AGCCGGACGGGUCGUCGCUGCGUUAUUCUCCGUCUGUGCGGGGAUAACGGGGAGGAAAGUCCGGGCUUCACAGGGCGGAAUGCUGGAUAACAUCCAGGAGGAGCGAUCCUCGGAGAGCGCCACAGAAAGCAAACCGCCACCCCCGGGUGGUAAGGGUGAAACGGUGGAGUAAGAGACCACCAGUCGGCACGGUGACGUGCCGAGCUAGGCAAGCCCCAUUCGAAGCAAGACCAAAUAGGGAAGCGGGCCGGCCCGGCCAACGCUUCCGGGUAGGUUGCUUGAGAGCGCGGGUAACUGCGUUCCUAGAGGAAUGACGACCGCCCGUUUCGACCGCUGUCGGAGCGGGUACAAAACCCGGCUUACAGUCCGACUCC
rnacentral:RNase_P_RNA from 1 species